AGGGUUCGAUUCUGGCUCAGGAUGAACGCUGGCGGCGUGCUUAACACAUGCAAGUCGAACGGGAUCCAUCAGGCUUUGCUUGGUGGUGAGAGUGGCGAACGGGUGAGUAAUGCGUGACCGACCUGCCCCAUACACCGGAAUAGCUCCUGGAAACGGGUGGUAAUGCCGGAUGCUCCGACUCCUCGCAUGGGGUGUCGGGAAAGAUUAUAUCGGUAUGGGAUGGGGUCGCGUCCUAUCAGGUAGUCGGCGGGGUAACGGCCCACCGAGCCUACGACGGGUAGCCGGCCUGAGAGGGCGACCGGCCACAUUGGGACUGAGAUACGGCCCAGACUCCUACGGGAGGCAGCAGUGGGGAAUAUUGCACAAUGGGCGCAAGCCUGAUGCAGCGACGCCGCGUGCGGGAUGACGGCCUUCGGGUUGUAAACCGCUUUUGAUCGGGAGCAAGCCUUCGGGUGAGUGUACCUUUCGAAUAAGCACCGGCUAACUACGUGCCAGCAGCCGCGGUAAUACGUAGGGUGCAAGCGUUAUCCGGAAUUAUUGGGCGUAAAGGGCUCGUAGGCGGUUCGUCGCGUCCGGUGUGAAAGUCCAUCGCUUAACGGUGGAUCUGCGCCGGGUACGGGCGGGCUGGAGUGCGGUAGGGGAGACUGGAAUUCCCGGUGUAACGGUGGAAUGUGUAGAUAUCGGGAAGAACACCAAUGGCGAAGGCAGGUCUCUGGGCCGUUACUGACGCUGAGGAGCGAAAGCGUGGGGAGCGAACAGGAUUAGAUACCCUGGUAGUCCACGCCGUAAACG
rnacentral:rRNA from 1 species